UAACACAACAACUGAGAGCGUUUUUCUGAUGAGCAGCACCUCAGCUCACCUGUGACCAGUGGGCGGAUCAUUGACAGCGCAUGAACACACCGAAGUCGGCUGAACAACUUGGGAAAUGGGACCAUCAGAGGAGCACAUGAAUGCAGCAAUCCAUUUCUAUCCCUGCUUGGGGAGCUACAUGAAAAGAUUGUGGAGAUGCUCAGGGCAGCUCAAGAAUCAAUUUGCUGACUUCAAAGAAAUGGCUAAACUGUUGAAAAAAUCAACCCAAAGUGCUCUGAGCAGGCUGACGCUGAAGAGAAAAAUUCUGGAUCUUGCACAUUUCUCAAGAGCCAGCGAACCUGAGGAGCAAUGCACAUGUUUCGGCACAACAUGACCUGUGUUAACCAUGGAUGAUAACACUGACACCAUGUUGCGAUGACAUACUGUAUAUUGUGCAUAGCGACAGAUUUACCAUCUGCCGCCGAUUCUAUAUGAGUCUUUGACAGCACGUAUGCCAGAUGAUGGUUCAGCUGUCUGACAGUGUGUUUUUAUUCAUGUGCAUCUCUACUUGAAUGUGAGUUGUGUUGUUGUGGUCGCUGUGCCAACAUUGCGUUCUUGUGUGCUCAACUUCUUGUGUACUACUAAUCUAAAAGUGAAUGGAUGAGAGGGGUUUAUCGCUUUUAAAGCUCACUUUUAGGCCUUUUUUUCAACUCUGUUGUAAUACUAAUGCAGCUACCUGUGUGUUCAUAAGUCAAAGCAGAUGAUGACUCGCAUUAGAGUGAGGAGAAUAUGACAGAAUUUCAAUCCUGAGCUAAAGGAAAGGUGCAUUUGUUUCAAAAUUUGUUUUCACAUUUUUGCCAGCAUGACACGAAGCAACAAGAAACCUGCAAAGGGACAAAGAGAAAGAGAUGACAUGUAAUAGCAGUAGACCCAACCCUGCAUGGAUUUCUUAGAUUACUCAGCUACUAGUACGUCUUGCAGUAUUCUGAAUUAAGAUGCCACAUGUAAGGUUGUAAAAUGUAAUACAAUUUUAACUCAA